rnacentral:tRNA from 1 species
GGAUUCGUAGCCGAAUGGUAAGGCGCUCUGUCAGGGCCAGAGAAAUUCUAGGUUCAAGUCCUAGCAAUCCGA